rnacentral:rRNA from 1 species
GUUGACCUCGGAUCAGGUAGGAAUACCCGCUGAACUUAAGCAUAUCAAUAAGCGGAGGAAAAGAAACCAACAGGGAUUGCCUCAGUAACGGCGAGUGAAGCGGCAACAGCUCAAAUUUGAAAUCUGGCCUCACGGUCCGAGUUGUAAUUUGUAGAGGACGUUUUGGGCACCGCUCCGGGUUAAAUUUCUUGGAACAGAAUGUCAAAGAGGGUGAGAGUCCCGUCUUGGCCCGCGGUAGGACCUAUGUAAAACUCCUUCGACGAGUCGACUUGUUUGGGAAUGCAGGUCAAAAUGGGUGGUAAAUUUCAUCUAAAGCUAAAUAUUGGCCAGAGACCGAUAGCGCACAAGUAGAGUGAUCGAAAGAUGAAAAGCACUUUGAAAAGAGAGUUAAACAGUAUGUGAAAUUGUUGAAAGGGAAGCGCUGGCAACCAGACUCGAGCGCGGUGUUCCCCCUUGCUUCUGCCUGGGUUAUUUCACCGUGACCGGGCCAUCAUCAGUUUUGGGGGUUGGUUAAAGAUUUGGGGAAUGUAUCCUCUCCUUCGGGGGAGGACUUAUAGCCCUGGAUGUCAUGCAGCCUCCCGGGACUGAGGAACGCGCUUCGGCGAGGAUGAUGGCGUAAUGGUUGUCAGCGACCCGUCUUGAAACACGGACCAAGGAGUCUAACAUCUAUGCGAGUGUUCGGGUGUCAAACCCUUGCGCGGAAUGAAAGUGAACGGAGGUAGGAAGGCUUGAGCCUGCACUAUCGACCGAUCCUGAUGUCUUCGGAUGGAUUUGAGUAAGAGCAUAGCUGUUGGGACCCGAAAGAUGGUGAACUAUGCGUGAAUAGGGUGAAGCCAGAGGAAACUCUGGUGGAGGCUCGCAGCGGUUCUGACGUGCAAAUCGAUCGUCAAAUUUGCGUAUAGGGGCGAAAGACUAAUCGAACCAUUGGUAAUCACUACUAGGUGGUUAAGAGUCGUGUGUGAAAAGCACCGGCUAGUCGCGAGUCCGCGGCAAGGUCGUCAAAUUGCGGGAACACCCUAAAGCCUGAGGUACCGCCGACCGUCCCGAAAGGGCGUGGAGGCACCACGGAGAGAUUUCGUGGGUACGGUAACAAUCCAAGGGAUGGUCCAAGGUUCAAAACCCUGGACCGCUGUAAUGGGCAAUCCGCAGCCAAGCCUGUUUCCCUCCCCUCCCCGGGGGAAAGGAGAUUGGGUGCAGUUCAUCGACUAGAUGUCGACCGGGUUCCAGGCCCAUCGCAGCCUGGAGCCUCAAGAUAUAGUCAGGCCCUCGGGGAGACCCGAGCGGAGGAACAAAGUAAAGCGGGUCGGACUCUUUUUCACACAAGAAGCCCGCUGUACCCGAAUUCCUCCUGGCCGGUCUUUGAGAGGCCG